rnacentral:sRNA from 1 species
CGAUCAGGAAUUAUCUGAAGCAGAACUGGUUUUAAUCAUCACUGCCCUCAAUACAAACAAACAAAACAACAAAGAAGAAACUUUAAGAGGCUCAUAUUAAGAAAUUCAACCAUUGAUUAUCGUAUAUACUUCAUAGAACUAAGUCUCAGAAGCGCGGAUAAUUUUGUAAUCAUAGCCCAA